UACGUAGGGUGCGAGCGUUAAUCGGAAUUACUGGGCGUAAAGCGUGCGCAGGCGGUUUUGUAAGCCAGAUGUGAAAUCCCCGGGCUUAACCUGGGAAUGGCAUUUGGGACUGCAAGGCUGGAGUGCGGCAGAGGAGACUGGAAUUCCCGGUGUAGCAGUGAAAUGCGUAGAUAUCGGGAGGAAUACCGAUGGCGAAGGCAGGUCUCUGGGCUGACACUGACGCUCAUGCACGAAAGCAUGGGGAGCGAACGGG
rnacentral:rRNA from 1 species